UUGGAAGUAAAAGUCGUAACAAGGUUUCCGUAGGUGAACCUGCGGAAGGAUCAUUACCGAGUUAGGGUCGCCCCCGCGCGCCCGACCUCCAACCCUUUGUCUACCUGACCUACAUGUUGCUUCGGCAGGCCCGCCGCCCCCGCUCACCCGGGGGAGGCCGCCGGGGGUCUCGCGAUCCCGGGCCCGCGCCUGUCGACGGCCCCAACCACAAAACUCUUGUUAAAAAACGUGUCGUCUGAGUACCACAUUUUAAUCAAAUUAAAACUUUCAACAACGGAUCUCUUGGUUCUGGCAUCGAUGAAGAACGCAGCGAAAUGCGAUAAGUAAUGCGAAUUGCAGAAUCCGUGAGUCAUCGAAUCUUUGAACGCACAUUGCGCCCUCUGGUAUUCCGGAGGGCAUGCCUGUUCGAGCGUCAUUAUCACCCCUCAAGCCCGGCUUGUUGUUGGACGCGGCGGCGGCGGCCUCGGCCUCGCCCCGCCCGUCUCAAAGAUAAUGACGGCGUCUGUGAGGACUCCUGUACACUGAGCUUUCGGGCACGUACUAGGCCAGCACUCCAGACCCGGUCGCCGUCCCCUCACCCGGGACACUUUUUACCACACAAGGUUGACCUCGGAUCAGGUAGGAAUACCCGCUGAACUUAAGCAUAUCAAUAAGCCGGAGGA
rnacentral:rRNA from 1 species